rnacentral:lncRNA from 1 species
AUUAAUCAUGAUUUUUAAUACACAAGAAUGUGUGAGAACUGCGUUUUCACUUUGAAACAUGGAUUUGAGAAUGUCCAGGUCAAUUUUCUAUUUUUGGGUCUGACAAAGACAAUGGAUGUCCACUUUCACCAAACAUAAGGUUUACUUCUCUCUUAUUUAUUUAUAUACUUUUUGGCGACAAAAACUGGGUUUCCUAACUCGAUCGCGGACCCUGGAUUUAUACUUGAUC